GGGCCGUUAGCUCAGUUGGUAGAGCAGCUGACUCUUAAUCAGCGGGUCCAAGGUUCGAGUCCUUGACGGCCCACCA
rnacentral:tRNA from 6 species